AUGAUAUUCUUUGCCUUCUCUGUCUAUGACAGGAGCCUAGAGAAGCCAUCUAGUACGUACUGUCACCAAGUGGAGAUCACUUCUUGUCGAGAUCGAUCGAGCCUCUUCUCGAGCUCCCUGGUCCCGAUGUGUCCUGUGUUCCUCAACCUCAAUGCACCGUUCCUCUCCCCUUGCAGCCUCCUCUCUAAAACCGAAAGAAGAGAAAGAGCAAGGAUGUACACGCCUGCGGGAAAGUACCUACAACCACGCUGGCUAAGAAGAAUGCCUGAUCCUCCCUGUCUCUCACUUGACGUUCGACUCCCUCUUCCCCAAGCUCGCACCUGCACCUUCUUCUCCCUACCUCUCCUCCUCCCUGAAUCCUCCUCUUUCUCUCUUUUCCACCGGGGAAAACUGAAGAGCCGCCAUGGCUUGGAGCUCUCUACCUGCCAGGAAUUCGCGCUGCCACGCCGGAUCCCUCCAUCUCACACACCCGUCCGCCAUCGCCUGGCUCCGGCGAGUUCCUGCCUAGGUUGCCAGAUCUCUCGCUCUGGAUUUCCUCGUCGUCACCGGCGACCCCCGCCUCGCCGCCCGCCUUCGGAUUAG
rnacentral:rRNA from 1 species